UACGGAGGGUGCAAGCGUUAUCCGGAUUCACUGGGUUUAAAGGGUGCGUAGGUGGAUUGGUAAGUCAGUGGUGAAAUCUCUGGGCCUAACUCAGAAACUGCCAUUGAUACUAUCAGUCUUGAAUACCGUGGAGGUCAGCGGAAUAUGUCAUGUAGCGGUGAAAUGCUUAGAUAUGACAUAGAACACCAAUUGCGAAGGCAGCUGGCUACACGAAUAUUGACACUGAGGCACGAAAGCGUGGGGAUCAAACAGG
rnacentral:rRNA from 1 species